rnacentral:misc_RNA from 1 species
UAGGUGAAUGGGGCGGUCCC